rnacentral:rRNA from 1 species
UACGUAGGGGGCAAGCGUUGUCCGGAAUCAUUGGGCGUAAAGCGCGUGUAGGCGGCCCGGUAAGUCCGCUGUAAAAGUCCAGGGCUCAACCCUGGAAAGCCGGUGGAUACUGUCGGGCUCGAGUCCGGAAGAGGCGAGUGGAAUUCCUGGUGUAGCGGUGGAAUGCGCAGAUAUCAGGAGGAACACCUAUAGCGAAGGCAGCUCGCUGGUACGACACUGACGCUAAGGCGCGAAAGCGUGGGGAGCGAACAGG